AAAACCAAAUACCAUAGGUUCUAAGAUAAGUUUAAGUGUGAAUACACAACCAGAGCACAAGGUCUAAGUGCAGUCGAACAUAAGAUGUCCUAAUUUACAACACUCGAAGAUAAUCCUACAUGAGUGAUGAUUUGUCAGAACUUUAGCUGGAAACCUCGAGAUCCAACAACAAACGCUACCUAGAACCUGGAGGGGCGCAAAACAAAGUUGAGUGGGUCAGCAAAACAAACUUCUUCAAAACCUUAUUUUCUCUUUGAAUAUACUAACCCUUCACCGUAAAACAAGUAUAGUUUCCCAGAAAUAAAGUAUAUAUUCAUAUACGUACUAUAUCUCAAAUCAUGCUAGACAAUAUGAAUGUAUGUCAUGCCAAAGUAUCAUAACUGAAUGCUCGUUAUCUCUAAGUGAAUAUGAUGGAAUAACAUAUAAUCAAUUCAGCACUCGGCUAUAAACAUAGUUCAUACUCUUUCAUUAUAAUCAACUCAGCCUUCAGCUGCACAUAUAGCUCAUAAUCAUCUCAUCACAUCAUGUAUAUAUAUGUAUAUCUUGCACACAUUCAAUACCACCUCACAUGGUCUGCAAUUCAUCAUUGUAUAUAACAUAAUAUGCUCUAGUGCUACAAUCACGAGAAGACUGUGCGAUAAAUCGCGGGUCACCUACGAGUCGAACCCACUAAAAGUGGUCUAUACGAUAGGACUGUGCACCUAACUUGGAUCCAAGGCGAGCAUGCGAUGCGGGAGGUGAACAUCACGUGAAAGACUGUGCCCCUAACUCUGGGCGGGAGCACUAAUAUACGUGUGCAAGUAAAUGAGCUUUCAAUUACAUCUCAAUCAUAUGAUUCAUCAUAUCUCAAUCAUAUCUCAAUCGUAUCACAAUCGUAUCUCAAUUAUAUCUCAAUCGUAUCUCAAUCGUAUUUCAAAUGUAAUAUACUCAUACGUAGCUUACCUGGGCCUCCUCAGCACCAUGCAACAAUAUGCAUAAUUAUGGUAAUGCAUAUACUAAAAUAUGAUGCAUACAUAACAUGUUACUUAAAUCGUAUUUCUUUUAAAAUACGUUUUCUGGGAAAUACUUCAAGUAUACGUAUAUAUAUACUGAAAAAAUAACUGCCCACUCACUGAUAAGUAGCCGGUUCGUAACCCCCACGCCUAGUUUGGUUACUUUCUUCCUCGGUAUAAGUCUCAUCUAUAAAAGAAUAAUUAUACAAACAUGAUGUGAAAAUUAUGUUGACACACAAAUUAAACCCUAUGGAUGACAAUUGUAGUAUAUGAGCAAAUAGGGAUCGUUCUAAACCGGGGAUUAACUAGGGAUGCUAAUCAAUGUGAAACUGACUCAAGAACAUAAAAACAUAAUGUAGAACACUAAACUAGACUCAAUUAAUGCAAAACUAGAGUUUAAAACACUUAAAUCAACCAAAACUCAAAACAGCAACUAAAAGACUCAAAACUGCCUUAAAACCACUUUCUGGGCAGUUUGAGUACCUAACACUAAUUUGGACGAAAUUGGACUAAAACUUGACUCAAGACACUUAGAACACAAACUAAAUUGAUUUCUAACUAAUCUAACACUUUAAAAUAAAUGGGGGAUUGAUUUUGACGAAAUUAAAAUUAAAACAGAGACUUGUAAACAAACUUUAAACAAAACAGAUUGUGAUGAAAUAGAAUGGUGAGAAACUUAGUUAGAGGGUUUCUUAUCCGCACAUGAACAUAUACAUACGAUUCAAUUUCCAAUUACUCUUUCAACAAACCAUGAAUGACAAUGCCCCAAAUUAACUAGAUUGCACCAAUUAAUUCUCAGAUUUCCCUAGAUUCAUUGAAUUGAAUGGAAUACGCAUUACAACCAAAUUAUUAUUAUCAAGGACCCUAACUAUGGAAUACGCAUGAUAGAGACACAUAUCAAAGAUCAUUAAGUUCAAUGGACAUCAUAAGCAUUGACGAGGCAUUCAUAACUAUGGGAUACGCAUGUUACUCUUGCCUAGGAUUUACUUAACGCAAUCGUGACUAGCGACUUUCACUACUUAUGAAUAUAAGUUAAUAAUGAUUAGGUGAAAUUCCCUUAUAUCCUAGCAUCAAGUUUAGGCAUGCAAAUUAAGUGUCGACCCUCAACCCACAUACAUAAACAAGUUAUCAAUCAAAUAGAUAAGUAAAUCACAUUCACAAUUUCUGAAAUCAUAAUUGGAAGAAAUCAAAUCAUGUAAAACAUAUGUCCAUGGCUUCAAAUUCACCUCUAACUAAAAAGAAAUUAGUUCCACAUGUUUAACAUAAUUGAAAAGCAAGUUAAAUUAAACAUAAAAACAGAAACAAAGAAAGAAAGAACUCUAAACACUCCACUAAUGGCAGAUUGCAUGUGCAAGGCUUCUCCCUCCUUUGGACUGCACGGCACUACUUCUUCCUCCUCCAAUGGUGGCUGCACAAGGUGGUGAUGGUGGUGGGAAGGCACGGCAAGGGUGGAUUGUGGCAGAAAUAUGGGAGUUUGGGGGUGGAAGGUUGCGGCAGGGAGAGAACUAGGGUUUUUGGCGUGAAUGAAUGAUAUGGGGGGUGAUGAUAGUUCGGCCAAAAGGUUUAACAAGUAUAUAUAGGCACCCAAAAACCCUAGUAAAUCAGGUUAGGGUUUUUAGAAGCCCAAAUCCAUCAUAAAUUAGGUUAAACAAUCAGAUUUUUAAUGGGAAUGAGGCCUAGGGUGCGGCUGGUUUGCUAGGGUUUAAUAUGAGCCUUCUACAAUGCCUUGCAAGGCAAGGCAAUCAAAGAUUCUAAACCCCUAGGUGCGGCAAAGGCUUAGAAGUCAGAAAUAUGCAAUGGGCUAGGGUUUAGGUGCGGCAUUAAGUGAGGAUCCAAGAUGAAUUGGGCUAGGAAGGUGCGGCCUUGUCCAAGAGGUAAGGAUGGGUCAUCUGGAAGCCCAAAGCCAAGAAUAGAAACUCUCACAAUUGGAAACCUCCGAGAAUAGAAACUUCCAACUUUAGAAACUUUGGUUUCUAAUUCUGAAUUCUUUGUUCUUCACUUUCAUUUCUUCAUUUCUUAAGCUCCCUUGACCUUCAGACUCGUCCAUUCCUUGUGCUCCAAGCAUGUACUUUUCAAUCCAAGCUCACUUUUGCUCUAACAUGCUCCAUUUUGCCAUCUUUUAUGUAUUAUGCCCCUUUGAACCUGAAAACACAUGAAAGUAGCUCAAAAGACUACUUUAACGCAGAAAAUAUAACGAAAAUGCAUAAGAACUAGCUAACUAAGGCGCAUAAGUAUGCUCCUAUCAAAACAUCAUUUAAAAGCACAUACACAACAUUUGCUAAUAACUUCUCAUA
rnacentral:lncRNA from 1 species